AGGGGUAUAGCUCAGUUGGUAGAGCACCGGUCUCCAAAACNGGNUGUCGNGGGUUCGAGUCCCUCUGCCCCUGCCA
rnacentral:tRNA from 1 species